AACUACCCAAUAGUGUUAGGCGUACACUAGAAGGCCCGUGAAGACACGAAUUACCGUCUGAUAACUAAUGACGCUACCAUGGCUGUAAACCAGAGGCCGA
rnacentral:snoRNA from 1 species